AUUGAACGCUGGCGGCAGGCCUAACACAUGCAAGUCGAACGAGUGGCGGACGGGUGAGUAAUGUCUGGGAAACUGCCUGAUGGAGGGGGAUAACUACUGGAAACGGUAGCUAAUACCGCAUACCAUCAGAUGUGCCCAGAUGGGAUUAGCUUGUUGGUGGGGUAACGGCUCACCAAGGCGACGAUCCCUAGCUGGUCUGAGAGGAUGACCAGGCACACUGGAACCGAGACAAGGUCCAGACUCCUAAGGGAGGCAGCAGGGGGGAAGAUUGGACAAUGGGCGCAAGGCUGAUUCAGGCAUGCCGCGUUGAUGAAGAAGGCCUUCGGGGUGUAAAGGACUUUCAGCGGGGAGGCGUUACCCGCAGAAGAAGCACCGGCUAACUCCGUGCCAGCCGCCGCGGUAAUAC
rnacentral:rRNA from 1 species